UACGGGGGGGGCAAGCGUUGUUCGGAAUUACUGGGCGUAAAGGGCUUGUAGGUGGCCAACUAAGUCAGACGUGAAAUCCCCCGGCUUAACCGGGGAACUGCGUCUGAUACUGGAUGGCUUGAGUUUGGGAGAGGGAUGCGGAAUUCCAGGUGUAGCGGUGAAAUGCGUAGAUAUCUGGAGGAACACCGGUGGCGAAGGCGGCAUCCUGGACCAAUACUGACACUGAAAAGCGAAAGCCAGGGGAGCAAACGGG
rnacentral:rRNA from 1 species